ACCUCCCUCUAAAACUCCAACUUUUACUCUUUCAUGUCUGCGUUCUCCAACCAAUUUGUAUAGAGUCUCUCACAAUUUCACCCUCUUUCUCUCUCUAUAAAUACCACUAUAUCGACAUAUAUAUAUAUAUAUUAUACAGGAGAGUAGAUGGAGAGAGUGAGGAGAAUGAAGUCUGACUCCGACAUGAUCGCCCUCAUCCAACACCCCCAUUAACUCCGGCGUCACCUUCCUCGACACCUACGACGUCCACCGUCGUUUCAUCAACGAAUUCCUCAUCGCCAACCUUUUCCGAUGACAAGAUUCAAAUUAUCGGUGAUUCGGUGCAUGCCCGUCCGGACCACCAGCGAGGCUAGCUUGAAGCGGCUCGGCACUAGCAUCCCUAUCGAAGAUCACGUCCUAAGUCACAUAAAAUGGGAGCGGAAGCGACAAUUUAAGUCAAACAAAGUGAGACUAGAAGCGAGAGCGCGUGUGAAACAUGAGAGUGGGAGCGUGCUGGAAGCGUGAGACCGACACCCAUUGAGAAGAAUUCUUUGACUUAGGUUAUCACUAUCAUAUUGCGUUGAUUUUUUUAAUACCUUAUAAAUCAGUUCUAUAUAUUUAGAUUACUCUUUCAUGAAUAAUUCAUUUCUUAGAAGGUUUUUUAUUUUACAUCUGUAAAUUACUUAGAAGGCGUCUUAAAUGGUCUAAUUUAGUCAUUGUACUUGUGUAAUUAUAGUCACAGUUUUGUGCGAUCACACUAAAAAUAUGCUGUUUUUGUAUGGUAUGACCAUAUGAUCAUCUUGUGUCCAUGACUCUACCCGUGGUCGCAAGUGAAAAACCCCAUAGAUUCAUGUAAAACAGAAUGUUUUUCCGUGGAGAAUCAAACCUGUGAUAAGGGGCCAAAUCUGUCACCUGCCAUAUUGGCUCCCACCGUUGGUUCAUCUAGUAAUGAGCUAAACUUAUUACUUGCUAAAAGGACUACUGAGAUGCAGAGUCCUGAUUUUCAGAAGGAACGGAUAUUAGUUGAACAGGUUAAAUCAGAUGCACUCGAGAAAUUGGAGCCUAACCAUGAUAAAAUGAGUUCGAUUCAUGAAACAACAUCAACAUCUAUGUCGUUAUGCUCUCCUUUCAAUCCUGUAACUUUGCCAUGAGAUGGUGUAUCAGAAGCCUCUCAUUGUUUAUCAAUUAUUACUAAAGAAAAUGACAAAGUAUCACAGGCAGAUUUUUCUAAGGAUGCAAUGCCAAUUGAAGCAGUCAGAUUGGAUCAAAAUUCUUCCCAAGCAUUUGUUCCUUCCAGAGUUCUGGUCAAUUGUCCUCCAAAGGGGAUUCUUAAGAGGAAUCCACGUGGAUGCAGAGGACUCUGCAACUGUCUGAACUGUGCUUCGAUUCGUCUGCAUGCUGACAGAGCAUUUGAGUUCUCCUGAAAUCAGAUGCAAGAUACUGAAGAGGUAGUUUUGCAGUUGAUUGAGGAAUUAUCACACCUUCAGAAUAUUUUUGAAGAAAUCUGAUAUUGAUGGCAAUGAUCAUAUUGUACACAUCAAUCAGGUUAGUAAUGAAUGAACUGAAUAUACAUUUUUUAGUAUUUAUUGCUCUACCUGUUUCAUUUGUAUGAUGUAAUUAUUACUAUUGCCUGUUCACCCUCUGCAAACUCAAUUUGAUAUUUAUGUACAUCUGUUGCUUUUUGUUCUGCAAUUUAGGAAUUUACACUAUCUUAUGACAUGCUACUGACAACUUUUGAUAUGUAUUGUGAAAUAAGAACUAGAAAUGUUAGUUAAGGAGAGGGCGAUUUUAUGGUUUUCUGAUGAUAAUAUUCUCAUGUGUUUCUGUUCUUUCAAUCCUUGAGAUACUUGUCAGAAUCUACAGCCAUCUUGUUCCAAUUAUUCUGUAUUUUCAAUAGUGAUUGGAAUAUGCCCUUCAAGCUUGCAUAACUUCUAUUUAUCUCAGAUGAUGUACAUAUUUGCAUUAGUUAUAUUAUGCAGCUUAAUUUUUCAAACAGGCACUACAAACAUACUGUAAUCUGAAUUCUACAAUUGUAAAACUUUCUGAAGAAAGUGUGCUGUAUUAUAGUGGCAGAUGAAUUACUGAAUGUAAAAGAACUAAAAGAUGUCUUGAUGGCAAGACAAGUUAGUUGAAUGCUAUGGUUGUCACUAAAUUUGGCUAACAGGCGCACAUCACUGUGGUGAGCCUAGGCCUUCAAGUUCAUAAUAAGAUGAGUAUUAAGAUUCAAAGUUGGUAGGGACGGACCUAAUGAAUUGCCCCCACUGAAUUUUUUUUAUUUAUAGUAUUAAUACUAGUGAAUUUUCUUUUUCUGAAUUAUAUAUGAAAUUUUCAUUUUGCCCCCAUGAAAUUACAAAAAAAAAAAAAAAAAAAAAAAAAAAAAAAAAAAUCUGUUAUUGCUCCCAACACAAAUUCCUGGGUCUGUCCCUCAAAGUUGGCUUGCAGAGAGUGGGCCAAUGUUGAUAUUUUUUUUGUUCUGCAUACAUCAUUUAUGGUAGUCCUGACCACACAUUUGUUUGUCAUCUAUUUUAUAUCUAUUUUCGAAAGUUUAGUUGGUUAUUUGUUUGUUGCUCCAUCAAAUUGAGCAAUUGAUUGCAGUUCUGGGUAUGAAGUGGACCAAUUUCCAUCAGGGGUCAUCAAAAUAUAUUCUUAAUUUAUGAUGGUGAAAUUCUGGAAUUUUCAGAAGGCUAGUCCCUGGAGGCCAAGGAUCUAUCAGAAAGGAACAAUUUCUUUCUAUUAGGACGGGAAUGAAUGUCAGCGGUAACAAACUCAUUUGAGAACUGCAAUUGGAUUAUUGGAAUUACAUUCUUUAUAGUUUCCAUCGUAUCUUUCUAGGGCAAAAAUUCUCUUUUCUAAUUGAUCUGAUUUGCAGAAAAAUCCAUCCCAUGUUCAAGACAAAAAUAAAUAUAUUGAUAAAGAACCACAGUAAAAGUAAUUUAUCUAUUUAUUUUAUUUCAUUUCUAUUUUUUUUUUUUUUUGGUUAUUUUGAACUUCAAUCAAACGAAGCUUGCAUUAAAUCUUUCAAAGCAGAACAAUUGGCAAAAGGUCGGCUCAGCGAAAUAAACAGUGAUCUGACUAUACACUGCAGAAGUAUGUGUUUGCAGCGGCCAAAGGUCAGGUUUGCCGACUCUACUGAAGAAAUAAUCACGUUCCAAAAGUGGAUUUUCAAACCAGAUAGUCUGAAAGAAUGAUAAGAAGCUAGCAGGCAAAGGGUGAGUUGCAGUAUUGAAAUCUGCCUCGAAAAUGGACUUACCACACAUGUAGCAGCACAUAUGAAUUAUGAAGCUGCAUUUCAAGCUAUUUAUAUCAUUUCAAGCUAUUUAUAUCCUACUGAGAAUAGGUGUAGCCGAAAAUAACAAGAUUUUAGAGAGCUAUUCAAUGUUGUUGAAGGAUAUGAUAGUCCAAAACUAGGAGAGAAAAUAAUUUUUACAAUGCCAGCCAUAUUUACCAAUUUUUAUGGAAUUGUUUAUUUGUGUGAAUAUUUAUGUUUUCAUGGUGAUUAUUUAUGGAAUUCCUCCAUCUGUUGAAUCUGCUCUACUUUUUUAACAUGUAUUUUUUUUUUUUUUUUCCUACUUGGUACUCACACACACAUGCCUCCACCGAGAUUUGGAUUCCUUACCUCCCUUUGGA